UCUGGCAGUUCUGACAUAUUCCUCUCAGACCCUACACCCCUCCCACCACUGGAGACCACUGUUUUAUUUAUAUCGCUGUGUACUCAGCUGUUCAAAUGUUGUUAAGCUGUUUGCGAAUCCAGCUUGCUUGGCUGCAUAGUGAACAAGCAGAGGAAGAAGAGGGAUGGUCAUUAGCACUUUCAGAAGAUCAGCAGAAAAGCAGAUGAUGGACCAUCAAUGAACCAUAACAAGAGCUAACAUCUGUAAGAAGAGAAACCCCUUAGGCAAGAGGGCAGCCCACAGCUCAUGCCCAGGUAUAAUCCGGCUCACAGCAUCUUGGCUGCUAUGAUGAAUCAAACCUCCCAGCUUGCCUCGACCCAUUCCAAAGCACUCAGAGCGGAACGCUGUGACACUGCAUCGUCCGUGUGAGCCGAGCCACUCACCCGUUAAGAGGUUUGUUUUGGAAGGGCGGCAGUCAAUCUCGUGAGAACGUGGCUGAAGAGCUUCUCUGACGCUGGAAAAUAGAGAGAUGGACAGCAAACUCCCUCGCACGCGAAGCUAUCUCCCUACUGGCUGGUCCGCCAGAGAGACAAGCUAUCUCCCUACUGGCUGGUCCGCCGGAGAGACAAGCUAUCUCCCUACUGGCUGGUCUGCCGGAGAGACAAGCUAUCUGCGAAGAUGUAAGACUGUGAUGGUUCAUGUAGGUUGAUACUUUACCAGAGGCAUGAUGACCAUCUGGGACAUAAAAAAAUAAGACCUUUGUUGGCCCCGACUGUUAAUCACCUCUGCUGAUGAGUGUGAGCACAAGACAGGCAGUAAAUCACAGGGCUAAUGAGUCUUAAACUCAUGGGUUCGGGGGUGGAGAUAAGACAGAGAUUCCCUGCCGCUGGACGGUCAUUAUGCCACACAGAAAAGAAAAGGCAGUUGUGUUGUUUGUGCUUAAUCUCUUGGUCAUACACUAACCAGCAUCUUGCCUUGGGUGUUUCCUGAUGACUGUGAAUGACUUUAUACUGGAUUAUUCUUUACAGAUGGAUGGAUAUACUAUGGGCAUUACUUUAGUAUCAAAGUUUGGUCCCAGAGUUAACAGCACGAAGAUGCGAACCUGGAGGCCAGCCUCGGGUUUGGCAUGUGCUGCUUUAUGCAGCAGUGCAGGCUGCUCCUUCAGCCCCUGUGAUGUUAGCUGAGUGGAAACCAUUUCACCUGUACUGGUAAUGCUUUUACACCAAGGCAACACAUCUCCCCAAAGCAACAUACCAACUUUACUUGUUAUGGGUCCUCUAACAAGUUAAACACGUCGCUGAAGGGUUCAGCAGCUCACAGGACUCCACCGCUGUGUGAAGCGCUUGCUGAUUUCAUUUAUGUCCUUUUAGGUAUAUCCAUCCACAUUCUGUAACUACUUCUCCUAUUCAGGGUCACAGAGGAUCUGAAGCCUAUCCUGGAGACUACGGGCAUAAGACAGGGAACAACCCAGGAUGGGGCGUGAACCCAUCACAGGACACACUAACACACUAUUCCCUCACACAUGUACACCUAUGGGCAAUUUGGUAACGGCAAUUAACAUCUGCAUGUUUUUGGACUGUGGGGGUGGGUUGGAGUACCCAUGACAUUGGGAGCUCAUGCAAGCUCCACGCACAUUCAGCCAUGGUGGAGACUCGAAUCCUACCCCUAGUCAACAGUGCUAACCACUGCACCCCAUGCCCCCCCAUUAGGUAUAAUCCAAUUGAUUAUACCUAAUAUUUUACAAAAAUUUUUGAUUUAAUUCAACUGAAGUGUGUGUCAUGGUUUACUUUGUGGAUUUGAAAGGCAGCACAAAUCUUACUCAUCAGAGGUGGAUAGUUCAGGUCCAUAAAGCAAAAAUACAGUCCAAGAUUUAGCUUCAACCAACCGGUCGAGUAUAAUGAGUCAGGCUUUUAAAUCUGCACUCUGUUCAGUGAUGUGAAAUACUAUCCCUCUGUAUUUCAUUAUUGUGUUCUGUCUGUUAUUAUUUAUUCUGUUAUUACCUUAUUCAUUCAUGUGUAAUACCACUAGGAUUACAUAGACCCAAUGCAAUACUACCUGUAUGAAAGCAUCUUUUCGGAUGCUGAUACCUGGUACGUGUGCAAUUAUGUUAAGUGUAAUAAGAAUGUGUGUAAGUUCAAUAAAUUGAAUGAAUUUG